GUCUGUCCCUGCAGUCUGUCCCAGUGUCAUGUUGUCUGUCACUGUGUCACUCUGUCUGUCCCUGCAGUGUGUCCCAGUGUCAUGUUGUCUUUCACUCUGUCUGUCCCUGCAGUAUACGCCAAUGUUAAGUUGCCUUUUACUGUAUAACUCGGUCUGUAAGUCCCUCUGUUGGUCCCUGGGUCACUCCAUCUAUCUGGUAUCCUGCAGACUGUCUCUGUAUCAGCCUAUCUGUUCC